rnacentral:rRNA from 1 species
GACGAACGCUGGCGGCGUGCUUAACACAUGCAAGUCGAACGGAAAGGCCCUGCUUUUGUGGGGUGCUCGAGUGGCGAACGGGUGAGUAACACGUGAGUAACCUGCCCUUGACUUUGGGAUAACUUCAGGAAACUGGGGCUAAUACCGGAUAGGAGCUCCUGCUGCAUGGUGGGGGUUGGAAAGUUUCGGCGGUUGGGGAUGGACUCGCGGCUUAUCAGCUUGUUGGUGGGGUAGUGGCUUACCAAGGCUUUGACGGGUAGCCGGCCUGAGAGGGUGACCGGCCACAUUGGGACUGAGGUACGGCCCAGACUCCUACGGGAGGCAGCCGUGGGGAAUAUUGCCCAAUGGGCCGAAGCCCGAUGCCGCCACGCCGCGUGCGGGAUGACGGCCUUCGGGUUGUAAACCGCUUUCGCCUGUGACGAAGCGUGAGUGACGGUAAUGGGUAAAGAAGCACCGGCUAACUACGUG